rnacentral:rRNA from 1 species
AAGGAGCUUGCUCCUUUGACGUUAGCGGCGGACGGGUGAGUAACACGUGGGUAACCUACCUAUAAGACUGGGAUAACUUCGGGAAACCGGAGCUAAUACCGGAUAACAUUUGGAACCGCAUGGUUCUAAAGUGAAAGAUGGUUUUGCUAUCACUUAUAGAUGGACCCGCGCCGUAUUAGCUAGUUGGUAAGGUAACGGCUUACCAAGGCGACGAUACGUAGCCGACCUGAGAGGGUGAUCGGCCACACUGGAACUGAGACACGGUCCAGACUCCUACGGGAGGCAGCAGUAGGGAAUCUUCCGCAAUGGGCGAAAGCCUGACGGAGCAACGCCGCGUGAGUGAUGAAGGGUUUCGGCUCGUAAAACUCUGUUAUUAGGGAAGAACAAACGUGUAAGUAACUGUGCACGUCUUGACGGUACCUAAUCAGAAAGCCACGGCUAACUACGUGCCAGCAGCCGCGGUAAUACGUAGGUGGCAAGCGUUAUCCGGAAUUAUUGGGCGUAAAGCGCGCGUAGGCGGUUUCUUAAGUCUGAUGUGAAAGCCCACGGCUCAACCGUGGAGGGUCAUUGGAAACUGGGAAACUUGAGUGCAGAAGAGGAAAGUGGAUUC